AUUCUGGAAGUCUGAGUUUGUGUGAUUACUAGUAACCACUUUCAACAUUUCUGCAAAGCUAGAGAAGGGUUCCCAGUGCCGAUUCCGACACUGUGAAGGAGCCCUUGGCAGUGACACUGUGUGCUCAUUAUGGCGAGAGAGAAAAUGUUUAGAUCCACUUUGCAGAUUUAGACACAUGGAAAUGCAGCAAAACUGCAGCAUUUCAUGCUUCUGGGAAACCCAACCUCUUGGUUGUGUGAAGAUCAGUUGUAUCUUUUACCACAGCAAACCCCGAAAUAUCAAUGGAUUAUUUUUGCCACCAAG